rnacentral:rRNA from 1 species
GAUCCUGGCUCAGGACGAACGCUGGCGGCGUGUUUAACACAUGCAAGUCGAACGAAGAGCGGUGGAAGCUUGCUUCUAUCAAUCUUAGUGGCGAACGGGUGAGUAACGCGUAAUCAACCUGCCCUUCANAGGGGGACAACAGUUGGAAACGACUGCUAAUACCGCAUACGAUCCAAUCUCGGCAUCGAGACUGGAUGAAAGGUGGCCUCUAUUUAUAAGCUAUCACUGAAGGAGGGGAUUG